rnacentral:rRNA from 1 species
UACGAAGGGGGCUAGCGUUGUUCGGAAUUACUGGGCGUAAAGCGCACGUAGGCGGAUUGUUAAGUGAGGGGUGAAAUCCCAGGGCUCAACCCUGGAACUGCCUUCGAUACUGGCGGUCUGGAGUCCGGGAGAGGUGAGUGGAACUCCUAGUGUAGAGGUGAAAUUCGUAGAUAUUAGGAAGAACACCAGUGGCGAAGGGCGGCUCACUGGCCCGGGUAC